AGUGAACGCUGGCGGUAGGCCUAACACAUGCAAGUCGAACGGCAGCACAGUAAGAGCUUGCUCUUACGGGUGGCGAGUGGCGGACGGGUGAGGAAUACAUCGGAAUCUACUUUUUCGUGGGGGAUAACGUAGGGAAACUUACGCUAAUACCGCAUACGACCUACGGGUGAAAGCAGGGGAUCUUCGGACCUUGCGCGAUUGAAUGCGCCGAUGUCGGAUUAGCUAGUUGGCGGGGUAAAGGCCCACCAAGGCGACGAUCCGUAGCUGGUCUGAGAGGAUGAUCAGCCACACUGGAACGGGGACAUGGUCCAGACUCCUAAGGGAGGCAGCAGUGGGGAAUGUUGGACAAUGGGCGCAAGCCUGAUCCAGCCAUACCGCGUGGGUGAAGAAGGCCUUCGGGUUGUAAAGCCCUUUUGUUGGGAAAGAAAAGCAGCAGGUUAAUACCCCGCUGUUCUGACGGUACCCAAAGAAUAAGCACCGGCUAACUUCGUG
rnacentral:rRNA from 1 species